UACGUAGGGGGCGAGCGUUGUCCGGAUUUAUUGGGCGUAAAGAGCGUGUAGGCGGCCAGACAGGUCCGUUGUGAAAACUAGAGGCUUAACCUCUAGACGUCGAUGGAAACCGUCUGGCUAGAGUCCGGAAGAGGAGAAUGGAAUUCCUGGUGUAGCGGUGAAAUGCGCAGAUAUCAGGAAGAACACCCGUGGCUAAGGCGGUUCUCUAGUACGGUACUGACGCUGAGGAGCGAAAGCGUGGGGAGCGAACAGG
rnacentral:rRNA from 1 species